CUAAAUGAUAGGGGACAACCUGUAAUGCCUGAAGCAUCUUCUCUUGCCACUAAUUUAGGGGUGUUGGCGAGGGAUGGUUCCAUUUUACCAUUGCACUAUAAGGAUUGGCGAUAUGUCCUUGCGCACUAUAAGAAGAGAGUAUGGGAAGAAAUCAAGGCUCAUACAGAUGCAAAUGAUUCUAUGGAGAGGUGGUUCAUGCAAUCUCUUGGAAGGAAAUGGCAAGGAUGGAAAUGUGAAGCAAAAAAACAAGGAUACACGCCAUAUAAUAAUGAUGCAGACAGAAUAGCUCAUAGGCCUAGUAGAGUUACGGAGGAGCAGUGGCGGUGUCUGGUCUAUUAUUAGAAUGAUAGAAAUGUACAGGAGAAGAGUACAAACAACAAGGAUUAUAGGUCCCAACAAAAAUUACUACACACAAGCGGGCGGACACCACAUUAUUUGGUUGAGCAGAAGGACAAGGAUGACGGAAAAAACCCUACGCGUAUUGAUACAUUUAUCAAAACACAUACACGAAAAGGUGGUGUAGCAGUUAAUGAAGAAACUUCUGCUAUCGUUAACAAAUUGAAAGCGUUGCGAUGCCCAGAUGGGUCUAGUUCACAUCCCAUGUCAGAGGGUGCGAUUUUCAGUCAAGCUAUAGGACCUGAGCGACCCGAGCAUACUCGAGGGCUAGGCUUAGAAGCAACUAAGAGUAAGCUGCUUGGUGCGAAGAAUAAUGAUCAAGCACUGUCCCAAUCCUCCACCGAACAUGAUCGAGAGUUUAUGAAGAUGAAAUCCAAAGUGCAAAAGAUGAAAAGGUUCUUAGAAGCUAUGGGUUACACAGAUGAUACAGAUGACGAUUUAGAUGAGUUCAAUGAGUCACCCAACGAGAAUCAUCUAGAUGCCUCUAGCGCGCACCGCAAAAUGACAGUUGGCAAUAACCAAGUCCAGAAGAGAUAAAUCUAGCACACCGGUCGCAGCCAGAACCAACUCCAUUUCCACGGCCGAAUCAACAGGCUGAUUCUCAUCAUCAGUGCGAGCCGGGAUCUACGGCUGCUGCUGACCUUGCCAUGUGGAAGCAAGCUAAGGCAAGUCAAGAUGCUCGCAAGACUACAAGAGUCACAAACAAGAAGAGAAGAACAUCGCAAAAUGGUUCAAAUUGAGUUUCUUUGGGGCAUCUUUGUGUCUGUUUUUGCUGCUUUCACUAUGAGUUGUUGCUUCCACUUUCUUGCACUCUAUCUCCCCAUCAUAUUUGUGCUUGGACUAGUAUACUACUACUAUAAGUAGCCUUAGCAAGAAUUUAAUGAGUAGUAUUGGCGCAUAGUUUUUGUGAAUCUGAUUGUGGUUGUUUGUUGCACUCUGUUUGUGACUGGUUUUUGCACUUUGUUUGUGACUGAUUUUGUGAAGAUGCACUUUAUUUUGUCACUAGUUUUUGCUCUCUGAACUUGUAAAAAUGCAGCUCUUUGAGCUUAGGAAUUGUAGGUCUCCAAGGGAAUAAAUGGACCAAUAGAUUAGAUGGAUCAAUGGAAUAGAUGGAUCAGAUCACACACACCCAACACACACACACACACACACACACACACGGACCAAUAGAAUAGAUGGAUCAUAUCACAACUUUCUUGAUCCCCUCGAGGCAUCUCUUAAAAUCCUCCACAAAUCCUUAAUGUUAUACUUUCCUUUGAUUUACAGUGCCAUUCUUGAUCGCAUGGAGCUACAUGAGCUGUUUCCAAAAUUGCAGUAACUUGAACAUUAAGAAUUGAAAUCCGUAAGCCGGGUUGAUCCCAUGGAAAACAAUGAGUUAUUCUUAAUUGCAGUUAAAUUGAAUACUAUUAAGAACCGGACUCGAAGAGCUUUCACUAGCUUCAACA